rnacentral:rRNA from 1 species
AGAAUCAACGCUGGCGGCGUGCCUAACACAUGCAAGUCGAACGAGAAAGUGGAGCAAUCCAUUAGUAAAGUGGCGCACGGGUGAGUAACACGUGACUAACCUACCCUUGAGUGGGGGAUAACCUAGGGAAACCUGGGCUAAUACCGCAUAAUACCUUCGGGUCAAAGGAGCAAUUCGCUUAAGGAGGGGGUCGCGGCCGAUUAGUUAGUUGGCGGGGUAAUGGCCCACCAAGACGAUGAUCGGUAUCCGGCCUGAGAGGGCGCACGGACACACUGGAACUGAAACACGGUCCAGACUCCUACGGGAGGCAGCAGUGGGGAAUUUUGCGCAAUGGGGGAAACCCUGACGCAGCAACGCCGCGUGGAGGAUGAAGCCCCUUGGGGCGUAAACUCCUUUCGAUCGGGACGAUUAUGACGGUACCGGAAGAAGAAGCCCGGCUAACUUCGCGCCAGCAGCCGC